UGGCUCAGAGCGAACGCUGGCGGCAGGCUUAACACAUGCAAGUCGAGCGGGCCCUUCGGGGUCAGCGGCGGACGGGUGAGUAACGCGUGGGAACGUGCCUUCUGGUUCGGAAUAACCCUGGGAAACUAGGGCUAAUACCGGAUACGCCCUUUUGGGGAAAGGUUUACUGCCGGAAGAUCGGCCCGCGUCUGAUUAGCUUGUUGGUGGGGUAACGGCCUACCAAGGCGACGAUCAGUAGCUGGUCUGAGAGGAUGAUCAGCCACACUGGGACUGAGACACGGCCCAGACUCCUACGGGAGGCAGCAGUGGGGAAUAUUGGACAAUGGGCGCAAGCCUGAUCCAGCCAUGCCGCGUGAGUGAUGAAGGCCUUAGGGUUGUAAAGCUCUUUUAUCCGGGACGAUAAUGACGGUACCGGAGGAAUAAGCCCCGGCUAACUUCGUGCCAGCAGCCGCGGUAAUACGAAGGGGGCUAGCGUUGCUCGGAAUCACUGGGCGUAAAGGGCGCGUAGGCGGCGUUUUAAGUCGGGGGUGAAAGCCUGUGGCUCAACCACAGAAUGGCCUUCGAUACUGGGACGCUUGAGUAUGGUAGAGGUUGGUGGAACUGCGAGUGUAGAGGUGAAAUUCGUANAUAUUCGCAAGA
rnacentral:rRNA from 1 species